rnacentral:rRNA from 1 species
AUUGAACGCUGGCGGCAUGCUUUACACAUGCAAGUCGAGCGGAUGAGAAGAGCUUGCUCUUCGAUUCAGCGGCGGACGGGUGAGUAAUGCCUAGGAAUCUGCCUGGUAGUGGGGGACAACGUUUCGAAAGGAACGCUAAUACCGCAUACGUCCUACGGGAGAAAGCAGGGGACCUUCGGGCCUUGCGCUAUCAGAUGAGCCUAGGUCGGAUUAGCUAGUUGGUGAGGUAAUGGCUCACCAAGGCGACGAUCCGUAACUGGUCUGAGAGGAUGAUCAGUCACACUGGAACUGAGACACGGUCCAGACUCCUACGGGAGGCAGCAGUGGGGAAUAUUGGAUAAUGGGCGGAAGCCUGAUCCAGCCAUGCCGCGUGUGUGAAGAAGGUCUUCGGAUUGUAAAGCACUUUAAGUUGGGAGGAAGGGCAGUAAGUUAAUACCUUGCUGUUUUGACGUUACCGACAGAAUAAGCACCGGCUAACUCUGUGCCAGCAGCCGCGGUAAGAC